AAUUCCUUUGCAGACAUCUCUUCAGAUUCCUUCUCCUUGGAGUCCUGUCGACGUGGUUCAACUCUGCAGGUGGUUGUGGUGGACACAGCACGUCUUUCCACACCCUAACAAGGGUUAUGGGCCCAGUAGCCGCAUGAACAACGCUAAAGAAACUGUGGGAGAUUUAGUUCUGCGAUUGUUGAGCUGUGUUUGGAUUACUAGAGGGCUGAAGAGAAAAGUCCUGGAGAGGAGUGAGUUAAGUGCUGUCUGCUCACGGACUCUGUCGUUAUCAGUUUGUUUUGGGAAGCUUAUUCUUGUUUGGCAGCCUGCCCAGGCUGUUAUCAGUAUCAGAGUGUUUGUUUGCAGCUGUUUAAAUUGCAGACUCAGUGCAAACAUGGAAGCGGCUGUCAAGUUUGAGAAACUGUCUGAGAAGAAUUAUGCUUCAUGGAAAAUUUAUAUGCAAGCUUUACUGGUAAAGCAGGACUUAUGGGACUAUGUAAAGAAACAGCCAGAUCCUACUGAUGAAGGCCAGCUAGCUGGUGAUGAAAAUUCUAGAGCAACAAUUGUUUUAGCUAUAGAGCCAAGCCAGCUAAAUCAUAUUAGAAAUAAGAGGUCAGUGUUUGGAGCUUGGAAAGCUCUUGAGGCUGUUAACCAACCAGCUGGAGCCUUGUCUAAAAUGCUGUGCAGCAGGCAGAAGGGACUGCUAUAAACUGUGGCUGCUCGGAUAGUUUUUGCGUCGCAAUGGAAAGGGAAGAAUCAGGUGACUUGGGACGACUGGUGGAUGAAACUGAUGACUUAUAUAGAAAUGGACAAACUCACCUGUUUGAUUAGAAAAAAAGAUUGGAAUAGCUGGAAAAAAUGUUAGAUGCCUAUGAUAAAAUUUGUGGAAAUGGAUAGAAAAAUUAAAAACUUUAAGUGUUAAAGUAGAAGAAAAGGAUGUAACAGAUAAGGAAGUAAGUUAUAUUUAUUUAUUAGACUGUGGGUAUAAUUAAUUUCUUCUCUAUUAGACAUAGCUAUCUAAUAUAAUAAGAUCUUUACACUAGAUAAAAAUGUAUGUAUUAAUAAUGUAAAUAUUACAGACUGCUGAACCCAUUCAUGAAGAAAAUACCUUAAUUUAUGGUAUUGUUUUGGUGUUUUUGUUUUUGCUUUCUGUUUGUUUUGUGUUUUUUCUUUCGUUUUUAUUUUUUUAAUGUUUUUAAUGUAUUACUUUGAUAUUCUGUGUGUUGUCUAUGUAUGUAAUGUCCUUCUUUAAUAAUAAAAUUUAUAAAAAAAUAAUAAUAAAAUGCUGUGCAGCA